GGCCAAGAGAAGAGAAUCACCUAGUGCUCUUGAGCUUGAAAAGCUGAAUGCUAAAGUUGUGAAGAUGGAGAUGACUGUAAUUGUCCUCUAAACACCAAGAAGAGUUACUGAGGAUGACCACGCUCCUGAACCACAAGGAGGACGCUCUGAGGACGCUGAAGGAGACUCUGAGAAGAUCACAGCAGGAGGGAGAACAGUUAUGUAAGUCUGCCCCAGACAAUAUUAAGAAUAGAAUUUGAAAUGACCACAAAACAACAGGUGAAUAGUUAUGAGCCCUAAUUGAGAUGUUUGUUCUUGCUGUCAUGGGGGGAGAGGAUCUGCAUGCCAGACUGACAACCACCAGAGGACGUACUGUCCAAAGCAACAUUCUCCUUGAAAAGAACAAACUUGAGGAAGUGAAACGGCUACAAAAAAAUCAUUUCUGAAUUGCAGUGUUUCCACUCAGCAAGGAGAUAUUUCCAAGUGGAAGGCUAGAGCAGUUAAGCUGAAGGAGAGGAGGGACGUGGUUGAAACACCUCCAUCUGCAUGUACUCAUACAAAACGACGCCUUCCCAUGACUUCUGAGGAGUUUUUUGAUAACUCCAACCUUGGAACCGUUCAAGAUGCAACUGUGGAUUAAAAAGGAGGAAUGGUGGCCUGUCACCAAAGCAAGCUGAUCUAUGCAAACAGCAGUAAAUGAUUUACCUAAAUUGCACUAAUCAUUCAUUGUUUAUCUAUUUUUCAAUAUUCAAAGUGUUUGUUUUCGAUAGCCUUAUAUUUUAAAAUAAACUGCUCUUUAUUUUAAAAUAUAAGACUCAUCUUUACCUGCUCUCUCUGUAAUAGCACUUUCAGAUGUUCUGACAGCAGAUGGCAUGCUUACACCAUUUUGUUUGAGAAUGUUUUAUUUUGACAACGAUGGAGGAUUUUAAACUUGGUGUCUAUGCAAAGUGGUCUUGAUGUUCAGUUUCUUCCAUUACUAAUUUUCAGACUAAUGCUUUUACAUUUUUAACCGUAGAUUGCAGUUUUUGAGGAUAUUGUACAUUCAUGGCUCCUCAUUGGAGUUAAAUUACAUUUUUGAAGAUGGAACAAUUGGGUAAUUAAGCUAUAUGGCAGAAUUAAACUCAGAAUUAUUCUAAAUAACUGUAUUUGCCUGUAUGUUGUGCAGGUAAACAGGAGGCCUGACCACUUAGACUUGGGUCUCAGUAGCUGCCCCACGGCUACAUUCUCUUGGUCGUUUCCUCUGCAUUGCUUCACAUUUCAUUUAAGUGGGUGCAGUAACCACAUUCUUCCUGUUCUCUCUGUUGGGAUUACUGUAAGAAGGGUACUGAGCCUUCAGAAGGAGAACUGGCACCGUGGUAAAUAACCUUUAGAGUUCUGUAGCACAUCAUCAAAGGUAAUUUGAUCACAGGUUCCCAAAUGGAAGGGAAUUAAGUGAUGUUUUCUGACUGCCUGGCAAAGUAAAAAAGACAGAUCUUAAGAUACACGGAAUGCAUUACUUAAUUUGUUCUCCAAGACAUUCCAGUGACUGAGCCCUGCAUACUUAUCAUGCAGUAGUUUUCUGUAACCUAAUGACUGCACCAGCUAAAAAGACACGACCGAUUGGGUUUGAAAGUGCCACAAGACUGGUAGACUUCUGAGCUGAAGUCUCUGCAUUACCUUUGAGAGUUAACAGGUUCAGGCAAGAUUAUUCAGUACACAUGUGCUCCAAAAGUUAUUUUCAUUAAACAUUGUGAUGCCAUCGAGGCUGAAAUACUUUAUUUACCAAAACCUCUAGCCGGAGAGGAGUAGUGGUUUUCAUUAUUUCACAAAUAUCAACAUACAGUAACUCUCAAAUCUGGAAAUGGAAGAGCUGAAGUCUGCACUCAGAUUAUAAACAAAAUGCACUUUUCCCAAGCUUCUCUUGUACACCUAACUCAUUAAUAGUAUUAUCAAGAUGUGGUAUCUUUUGAUACUUUUGUUCCAAGGAUAUCACAAUAUUGAUGGUAAAUAGGUUUGCCAGUUUUCUACAGGUUUUUUCUUAUGUAGGCAAUACAAGAAGAAGACGGAACACAAUUGGUCAGAAAAAGAACAAAGUCCUUGUGAAGAAGUUCAAGAAUAAAGGGAGACCUUCUUAAAAGGGAAUUACAGUCUCAAUACUGAACCAGACAUUCCUCAAGCACAAGUUGUCAGAGUAGCCCUCAUUGCAAUUAAAGUAAGCAAAAGUGUCAAAGUUUGAACCUCUCCCGGCAGCCCACCUAAUUGCUAAGGUGGCUUGUUUCAUCUAAUAGUAUUAUUUGUAUAUUUCCAUAAUGUGUUACAGUGGGAAUCAUCCAGGACAGGUCUUUCCCUUGUUCAAUUAUUCAGGGCUCAGUCACAGACAGUCAUUAAAGUUUCAUGGGAGGCAAUUUGGAGGCAGUGCUGGUUGCUUUAGAAAACAAAAAGCCCUCUCUGCCUUUGGAAGUGCAUGUUGUGAACUUGUGAUGGAGGUAAAAUGAAAUUCAUCAUUACAUUUGUGGACUAUUAUUGACCCAGAAACUAAAAGGUGAAAUUGUAUGGUGACCAAAUGUAUUUGAUUAGGUAUGUCACUCAAAGUUCUUCUCAAAGAUAGCAAGUUUACGUUAUCUAUAAGGCUAACUCAUUUGCUGUAUGAGACUGAGGAACACAUCCACAAUAGUCAGGAGUUCUCAAGACAACAUUUAAUACUGAUGCACACAAAUAGAUGCCCCAAAAAGUUUGUCUCCUUAUAAUUGUCAGAUUUAGAAAUGUAUUCUUGCCAGUGCUUAAAAACUAAGAGGUAACAUGCACACUUAGAAAUAACACUUGUUUUGGGAAAUACUAAUAUUACAAACAUAUUACUUUGAUCAUUCUGCAUGCCUUGAAUCCUCUUAACAGCAAAAUCACAUGCCCACAUACAUAUCCUUGAGUAGAAAAUGGGUCAUGUAAUAUUUUUUUAGAGAGGUAAUUAAAACUUUGAGUGUAUGUGGCUUGACAUGGGAUAAUACAUACACAACAGCAGCUUACUGUAAUACUUUGCUGGUAAAGAUUAGGUUGGAAAAUAUCUGAAUCUCCUAAAUAAAAAUUCCAGGCAAUUUGUUUUUAGAGAUUACAAAUAUUUUACAAAUAAAGUGCAGUGCUCUAAAUUGCUGACAGAAAUCUUACCGAGAUGGGAAAGGAAGUAAAAAUGACAUUCUUUCUCAAGGACAGUUAAGUUGUUCAGUUGAAUUGCAACGGCAAUAUUCAAACAUGCACAGGCCAGGGACAGUGCAUGACAGGCAGUCCUGGGCAAGGCCAGUUUCUCUCAUGAAUUCACUGUUAAAGAUGUUUGAAAAUGUUUUGUAGGAGGACCAUCAUACUACAUUUUAUUCUCUAUUCUUCUGUUUAUUCUGUUGAAGUCUGAAUAUGUUUAUUCACAUAUACUCCUACAAUAGGUCUUGAUAUUGUUCCUUUCAGGCAUGUUUUCACGUCAGUGGCUAUUUGAAGGAUUUUAUGCUUGCUCUAUUCUUAGCGCCAACUCACACUGGUAGCAUGACUACUUGCAGUGUUUUAAUUUCC